GACGAACGCUGGCGGCGUGCUUAACACAUGCAAGUCGAACGGAAAGGCCCCUUUGGGGGUACUCGAGUGGCGAACGGGUGAGUAACACGUGAGUAACCUGCCCUUGACUUCGGGAUAACUUCAGGAAACUGGGGCUAAUACCGGAUAGGAAUCCUUGCUACAUGGUGGGGGUUGGAAAGCUUCGGCGGUUUUGGAUGGACUCGCGGCUUAUCAGCUUGUUGGUGGGGUAGUGGCUUACCAAGGCUUUGACGGGUAGCCGGCCUGAGAGGGCGACCGGCCACAGUGGGACUGAGAUACGGCCCAGACUCCUACGGGAGGCAGCAGUGGGGAAUAUUGCACAAUGGGCGGAAGCCUGAUGCAGCAACGCCGCGUGCGGGAUGACGGCCUUCGGGUUGUAAACCGCUUUCAGCAGGGGCGAAGCUUGUGGUGACGGUACCUGCAGAAGAAGCACCGGCUAACUACGUG
rnacentral:rRNA from 1 species